rnacentral:rRNA from 1 species
ACGGGAGGCAGCAGUCGGGAAUAUUGCGCAAUGGAGGAAACUCUGACGCAGUGACGCCGCGUAUAGGAAGAAGGUUUUCGGAUUGUAAACUAUUGUCGUUAGGGAAGAAAAAAAUGACAGUACCUAAGGAGGAAGCUCCGGCUAACUACGUGCCAGCAGCCGCGGUAAUACGUAGGGAGCAAGCGUUAUCCGGAUUUAUUGGGUGUAAAGGGUGCGUAGACGGAAAAGCAAGUUAGUUGUGAAAUCCCUCGGCUUAACUGAGGAACUGCAACUAAAACUACUUUCCUUGAGUGCAGGAGGGGAAAGCGGAAUUCCUAGUGUAGCGGUGAAAUGCGUAGAUAUUAGGAGGAACACCGGUGGCGAAGGCGGCUUUCUGGACUGUAACUGACGUUGAGGCACGAAAGUGUGGGGAGCAAACAGGAUUAGAUACCCUGGUA